CACGUAGGAGGCGAGCGUUGUCCGGAAUCAUUGGGCGUAAAGAGCGCGCAGGCGGCUUGGCAAGUCGGGGUGUGAAAUCCCGGGGCUCAACCCCGGGACUGCAUUCGAUACUGUCAGGCUAGAGGUAGGUAGGGGAGAUCGGAAUUCCUGGUGUAGCGGUGAAAUGACGCAGAGUAUCAGGAGGAACACCGGUGGCGAAGGCGGAUCUCUGGGCCUUACCUGACGCUCAGGCGCGAAAGCUAGGGGAGCGAACAGG
rnacentral:rRNA from 1 species